AUGCUUCUCCUAAAGACUAAGCCAUGCAUGCCUUCGAAUAAGAGGAAGCAAUUCUCUCUGAAUCUGCGAACGGCUCCGCAAACCAGUUGUAAACUAUGGCAAGCAGGCCGCGUGCCGGCCCUCACGGGCUGGUGCGCGGUCAGAUGGAUAACCCUGGUAAUUCUGAGGCUAAUACAUGAACGUAAAACCUAGUUGACCGGGUUUCGGCCUGGGAUUCUGGGGGAUGUGUGAUUGCAGGCUUGGUUUAACCGGGAAUGGGCG
rnacentral:rRNA from 1 species